GCGUGUCCCGGCAGGCCCCGCCCUCGGCCGGGCGGAAGGAAGUCCGGGCGGAAGCUGGCCUGUAGGGUGGCAUUCCUGUCGGUGUCGGUGGAGGCCAGGGCGUUCCUGCUAGUUGCUCCUAAGGGCUUGUUUUCGUUCUGGGUCGCCUACGUGUGGGUCGCAUCUCGCGACUCGAGUACAAAACAAAAACGCAGCGAACAAAACCCAAAGAGCUCCGCCCCCAAAAUAAUAAUAAUAACCCAGACAGAAUCCCAACUGCUCGCCCAUAUCUGGAAAUAGAAAGCGGACCGCCGGGCACCCACUGGCCCCUCGGGGAACUCCUGGAGACUUGGACCGUGGUCCGGUGUCCGGCCUUGGCCUCCGCCUCCGCCCCCGGUGUCCUGGCUGCUGCCAGUGACGACGGUCCCAGCCCGCCCUGCCCGGGCCUGUGCCUCCUGACCAACAUCCUGCCUUGUGCAUAUUGAAAUUUUUAUCAUUUCUAAUUUUUUUUUUUUAACUUGAGAGCCAUCCGCUGGUUUACUGCUCAAAUGGGGCCAAAGCCAGUAGCUGGGAACUGUAUCAGCCUCCCACGUGGGUGGCAGGGCCCCCAGCACUUGAGUCAUCACCUGCUGCCUGUAGUUAGUUGGAAGUCAAGACGGGGAUUGAACCCAGAGGCUUGGAGCAGGCAGAACGUUUGGAGAUUGCCGACUCUCUGUUCAUCAGCGUGGUGCAGAAUCACGGAGCUGGGACCAGGGCUGGCAUCGUGGGCACCUGACCUGUACACUCACAGAGGCUCUUGGAAGGCCCCUCUGCGUGGCUCACUGUUCUGCUAUUGUCAUUUUGGAAUUCCCAAUAAUUUCCAAACGCAGAGGUCUGCAUUUUUUCAAUUUUGCAACCGGGCCUCACAAGGUAUGUAGUCCAUUGUGGCUGGGAGAAGGGAGAGGCAUGGGUGGGAACACAGCACCUUACCCCUGGAAUGGAAGACUUGGCCUCUGAAUCUCUUGAGGGGCCUCAUUGGAUGUCAGUGUUGGCCAAAGAGAAAAAAGGGGAAGAAGAAAGCAUUUCCUUUAGAACAUGGCCCCUGGGGCCAGCCUUUGUCCUAGAAGUUGAGCGUCAGUUCGGAUGCUCACAGCCUAUAUCAGGGUGCCUGGGUUCGAGUCUCCGCUCCCUCUCCGAUUCCAGCUUCCUGGAAGGCAAUGGUGAUGGCUCAAGUGACUGGGUUUCUGCCACCCACAUGGGACGUUCUGAAUUGAGUUCCUGGAUCCCGGCUUCAGCCCUCUAGUCAGUGUAGGCAGUUGGGGAGUAACCAAAGGAUUCACUCUCUGUCUCUCUGCCUCUCACAUAAACGAGUAGUUAUGAUUUCCCUAAAAAAAAAAAAAAAAAAAAAAGCCAAAAGUGUAGCUCCCUCCAGUUGGAAGGGCCCGGGGAGCACCCAGUUCUGAGAGCGCACAGCUUGAACUCUGUACUGCUAGGGAGGGAAACUUCCCGGCUCCCCCAGCACAGCCUUCCAGGGCCACUCCGAGCCGAGCCACAGCUGGUCUUCUCAAGGGCAAACUCCUGCCAACACAGAGGCUUCUUUCCCGAGCAGCUCUGUCCACCCUGUGCAUCCCAGGGCGACGGCACAGGGGAAUGAGGCUGUUUGUCCACUUCCGACUUGCAGACUUCCUCCUGAGCCUGGCUCCUGGGGCAGUGAAGUCACCAACCUCUUGUCAUCCGCUGCUGGAGGCGCAUUCACAGCGAGGGGAGCUGGCCGCUCAGGGCCAGACAAGAAUCCAGAUGAAGAAUGAUGGAGUGAAGGUCCCCCCCCCCCACCAGGAACGGCACAGGGAUGCUGGCGUGGCGGAGGGUGCUGGGUUUCUUUUUUUUUUUUUUUUUGAGCAGGGGGCAGUGGAGGCUGUAGACACAGAACCCUGUAUAGAGUGUGUAGAAGCUCCUCACCUUUCCAAACCAUGGGCUCAGAAAUGCUGUUGGGGGCCCAGCACUGUGGCGUAGUGGGCUAAGCCUCCACCUGUGGCACCAGUAUCCCAUAUGGGUGCUGGUUCGAGUCCUGGCUGCUCCAGUUCUGAUCCAGCUCUCCACUAUGGCCUGGGAUAGCAGUAGAAGAUGGCCCAAGUGCUUGGGCCCCUACACCCACAUGGGAGACCCAGAAGAAGCUCCUGGCUCCUGGCUUCGGAUCAGCGCAGCUCCAGCUGUUCUGGCCAGUUGGGGAGUGAACCAGCAGAUGGAAGCCCUUUCUUUUUGUCGCUCCCCCUCUUCAUGGAGGAGCGACACUAAACCCUGCCUAGGCUUCAUAUCCGAGUCACGGCACCAUUAUGUCGCUCCCCCUCUUCGUGGAGGAACGACACUAAGCCCUGCCUAAGCUUCAUAUCCGAGUCACGGCACCAUUAUGUCGCUCCCCCUCUUCGUGGAGGAACGACACAGGACCCUGCACUGUUCUUUUGUCUGCUCGGCCCUUCCCGGGUUUGCUGCUGGUUCUUCCCGGGUUGGCUACUGUCCCUUCCACCUCUGUGGAAGGGCGGUUCCCCCUGCCACUUUCCCCACUUCCGCAGGGGAGCGGCACACCGCCGGCCGGCUCUCUCGGGGGCUGCACAGGUGUUCCCCUUAGAUGUUCCCCUUAGGUGUUCCUGGUGCAUGCCGUCUCUCUCCUCCUUUAUAGUCCUCCUCCGCCAAUCCCAACUCGGCUGCCCACACGCCGAGCACGCUGCUCUCCUCCAAUCAGGAGCAGGUCCUACAGUUUAUUGGCUGAACUGGAGGCAGCUGUGUAGAAGCUGUUUUCUCCUCUCCCAGCGCCAUAUUGUGGGAGAGCAGACGCACAGAAUAAGUCCCAAUUCCAGUAACUUAGUCUAGUCUGAGUUGCUCCCAGUUGCUCCCCACAGAUCCCCCUUUCUUUUUAUUUUUUGGCGUUGAUACGCGCCUGUCUUCGGUGUCCCGCAGCACACACUCUGCUCUGUUUGCUAGAGUUGCCACAGGUUCUUACAAGUCCUAUCAAUCAGGCAAACUGAAUCCGGGUCCUCUCUUCGCCAUGUUGUGAGGAGGUUUUUAGGCGCUGAUGCGUGCCUGUGUUCGGUGCCCUGCAGUGCAUGCUCUGCUCUGCCUGCAGGUGCUUACAAGCCCUAUCAGGCAAACCGAACUCAAGUCUUCUCAUUGCCAUAUUGUGGGGAGGCCUAUUGGUGUUGAUUUGUGCCUAUCUUCGGUGACCUGCGACUCAUACUCUGGUCGAGCCGCCUGCUGGUGCUUACCACCUUACUAAUCAGGCAGACCGAAUCCAAGCCUUCUCAUUGCGGUAUUGUGGGGAGACUAUUGAUGUUAAUAACGUGCCGUCUUCGGUGACCUGCGGUGCAUAAGCUGCUAGCCGCCCGCAGGUGCUCAUCGCCUCACUAAUCAGGCAGACCGAAUCCAAGCCUUCUCAUUGCGGUAUUGUGGGGAGACUAUUGAUGUUAAUAACGUGCCUGUCUUCGGUGACCUGCGGCGCAUAAGCUGCUAGCCGCCCACAGGUGCUCACCACCUCCCUAAUCAGGCAGACCGAAUCCAAGCUCUCUCAUUGCUGUGUUGUGGGGAGGCCUUUCUAUUUCUCUAUUUCUCUAUCUCCGGGCAUUCCUAUUUCUCCCAUUUUACUUCUAUCUUCCAGCAUUCCUAUUUCUCUCAUUUUACUUCUAAACUUCUGUUUCUCUUAUCCCUGCGGCUUCCCGGCGCCCGCCCCGAGGCUGCUUCUCGGCACCUGCCCCGCGGCAGCUUCCCGGCUCUGAGCCGCUUCAGCCUGUGCCUCUCUCAUCUGCGCGGCUUCCCGGCUUCGCGCCUGUACCACAGCCUCGCACCAGCCCAGCGUUCCCUAUCUACUUGUGCCCCGCACGCUCUCUCUGCGCGCGGCAGCCUCCGCGAGUCACACAGCGUAGCUUACGUCUCCGCCACUAGCAUUCAAUCUAAGUUCCCCGGGCUAGCCUGGCGAAUUCAACCCAGCUCACGUCUCCGCCCCACAAUUUGGCUUCCCGUCCUUUGCUCCCCGGGCUAAUCAGACGGAUCCCAACCUGGCUUACGUUUCCACUUCUGGUUUUAACUUUUCGCCCCUUAUUCCUGGGCUAACUUGAGAAUCCCAAAGUGGCUUUCGUCUCCGCCUUGGCCUGCCCCCCGCGGCUUCAAUUUCCCUAACAUUUUUCUCUACCCGGUAUGUUUCCCCAAGCUUUCUUCCAACAAUAUUCCUCCCUCAUUUCUCCUGGCUUCUCCCCACAGUCCGUAUCCAAGUCUGUUUGUUCUAGCUUUCACUUUCGCUUUCGACCUUAGAGAUUUCUCCCAGCUUCCCCCUGUAGUCCGUAUCUGAGUCUAUGCCUAGGCUUUCAAUAGCUUCUUCCGGCACCUUUUUCGUCCGGCUUUUCCCUAGGCUGUUUGCUAGUCUCUCUCUCCGAUAUUUUCCCAUUUCUUCCCUCCUAAGUUUCCUAUCCGUCCUAGGUUUCCUAUCCGAGUCACGGCACCAUUAUGUCGCUCCCCCUCUUCAUGGAGGAGCGACACUAAACCCUGCCUAGGCUUCAUAUCCGAGUCACACACCAUUAUGUCGCUCCCCCUCUUCGUGGAGGAACGACACUAAGCCCUGCCUAGGCUUCAUAUCCGAGUCACGGCACCAUUAUGUCGCUCCCCCUCUUCGUGGAGGAACGACACAGGACCCUGCACUGUUCUUUCGUCUGCUCGGCCCUUCCCAGGUUUGCUGCUGGUUCUUCCCGGGUUGGCUACUGUCCCUUCCACCUCCGUGGAAGGGCGGUUCCCCCUGCCACAUUCCCCACUUCCACAGGGGAGCGGCACACCGCCGGCCGGCUCUCUCGGGGGCUGCACAGGUGUUCCCCUUAGAUGUUCCCCUUAGAUGUUCCUGGUGCAUGCCGUCUCUCUCCUCCUUUAUAGUCCUCCUCCGCCAAUCCCAACUCGGCUGCCCACACGCCGAGUACGCUGCUCUCCUCCAAUCAGGAGCAAGUCCUACAGUUUAUUGGCUGAACUGGAGGCAGCUGUGUAGAAGCUGUUUUCUCCUCUCCCAGCGCCAUAUUGUGGGAGAGCAGACGCACAGAAUAAGUCCCAAUUCCAGUAACUUAGUCUAGUCCGAGUUGCUCCCUACACUUUUGUCUUUCCCUUUCUCUGUAACUCCGCUUUCUUGAAUAAAUAAAUUAAAAAAAUUUUCUAGGAAAGAUCACCAUGUAACUGAAGACAUGGGCCAAGGCCUUCCUACCCCAAAACGCAUUUCCACUGUCAGAUUUGCUGCCUUGAUCUCUGGUCAGGAAGCCACCGUCCACACAGACCCAAGGUUUCAGAAAGGAUCUGUGGGCUCCUUCCUUCUAACAGACCGUGGAUUUGAAAGGCCGCUCAGAGAAUGACGUCUUCAAAACCCAAGGCCACAGCAGAGAGCUGGACGGGAAGAGGAGCAGCCGGGACUCGAACCGGAGCCCAUAUGGGAUGCCGGCACUGCAGGCUGUGUCUUUACCUGCUAUGCCACAGCAUCGGCCCUCCCAAGCUUCUUAUGAACUUCAAAAAGAGGCGUGGUUACACAGUACUGCCCCCAGGUCCCAGGUUAGGGAGGUGCAUCUUGGGGAAGAGUCAUCUGAUUGACAGCUGGGGUGAUGGGAUUACAAGGGCGGGGAAGGAGUGGGCUCCAGCUCCUGAACUAUGUAUCUCCCUGGCUUUUCCCACUUGGAAUGUCAGUUUCUAGGGUGGCAUUCCUGCUUCCAGCCGAUUUCCACUGAAAUCUCUCCCACUUUUCUGAUGAUGACCGAACUGGACCUCCCUCUUCAGAUCUUUCCGACUCUAGGUCCCUGGUCCUCACCAGCUGCUGGGUUAAUUCUAUUUAAUUAGGCCUGGCCUUUUCCUGGCGCCAUGUGGCUUUAAUAUAUGUGUUUCCACUAUCUCCUAAUGUCUUAUCUCCUAGACCUGAGCAUUUAUAAAGACGUUGCAAACGGAAUUUAAUUAAAAACAUAUGGAUCUGCUUUGAAAUGCGUCCUUAUCGAUGCAUAACAUGCAGCUGCCUCACUGCAGCGAUCCCAGAGUAGACAGAAGCCGUCUGACCUUGCCCCUUCCCUUCACAGAUGGAGAGAUGGAGGCCAGGGGCGAGAGGGAGACUCCGCAGGGUCCUGGGGCUCUGCAGCCCCCACUUCCAGUCCCAGGUCUGCUGCCCUCAGCUGAGGCUGCCCCUACUGUGAUGUGGGUUUGUGGGGUCCAGCACUCUCUCUGCAAGGAGCUGUUCCCCUCUUCCUCCUCCUCCUGCCCACAUGCCCCCCCUCCCCAAGAUCUCCUGUCCUUGUUCUUUAAUGCAAAGCUUUCACAGGUGCAUUGCUGGGAUUGAAGACAUCCGUGAGCCCCCCGCUGCCUUCCAGAAGCACAAAUGGAAAUCCCGGAGGAUUUGGGUCCUGUUACUGGCCACGGAGGGGCAAGUUUCGUGGAUUUGCCUCAGCUUAGUAUGGAAAUAAGAAGCCGGGAAACACUUUGCAAAAAAAAAAAAAAAAAAAAAAAGGCAAAAACUUUAUUUCAGCUUGCAAAGUGACAGAAAAGAGUCUGGUUGGAGAGGAGACCAGGGUUUUUAAGGCAUUGCUGUCUUUUCAUCGGGGUCAUUCUAUGGGGGUGCCCCGUUGGACAGGGGUUUUACCUACGCUGUGUUGAUUGGCUUGGGGCCCAUGGAGACAGCUGGGGGUCUCUUGGAGGCAGCCCGGACUCCCUUAGGGGCUCAGCCCCUUCCUCUGCUGGCUCUGGGUGGAAGAUUGCAACUUAGUUGAAGCUGUGGUUAAAACCACAGGCUCACACAUACCGAACAGGAGGCUGUAGUGGGGGACGCCGGCCGGCCGGCCUGGAUAGAAGCUUCCCAGCCACAGUUUGAAACCCGCAUGUGCGGGGACAUCCCAGCUCUGUCUGCGGGGCCCACAGACCCCUAACCCCACGGACCGCCUCAUGUCCCACAGCCGGUGCCCGUGAGUGUGCCGUGAGAAGCCACUUUUGCAGACUUGUAGUGGAAGGCUGCCUCCCGGGGACCGAGCCCCGCCUGAGCUUACACAACCCUUUUGUUUCACACAGGGCGGGGGCGGGUGGCAGGAGGGCAUGGGGGAAAUAUCUGGAAACGCAGUUAAUGAACUUUGUGUGAAGAGGAUCCAAAGCCUCUCAAAGCUUGUCCCAGGGGCCGAGAUAACACGGUGACCCGGGCGGCUGAGAGGACAAGAAACAGAAGUUUGUAUUGGCACCGGUUCCUUUAUCCCACCAAAAGGAAAAAAAAAAUAGAACAAAACAAAACUCUUCCUGAGGCAGUGAGAACAUACUGGGUUUACUCACGCUUUAUUUCUCUGCUUAUUUCGCUGAUAAGCAUAUUAUCAUUUGCAGACCAAUUAACCUUUGACCUCCAGUGUCCUGCCUUCACAGGACACAAGCAAGGUCAAAGGUGAUUUUGUUCAAUGACCCUUCCGGGCAGUUGUUACUGCAGCCGCUGAGUCCCUCUGUGUGUCUAUUUUUAGUGAUUUCCUUUCUAACAUCAAAGCUCGUGAAAUUGUUGGAAAAAGAGGCAAUAGUUAUUCUUUGAGAAUUAUGGGAUUCGGUGACAAUAAAUUUGAACACAAUGUUUUAAGCCCUGGGGCUCAGAAAUAGCAUUUCUGAGAAACUUGCCCGCAUGAAUAACUCGAAAGACAUCCUGGACCAUUUCUUGUUUCAUUAAUGCUGGAGUUGAAAGCAGCAUUUCUGUUUCCUAAUCACCUCGGUUUUAAUCUAAACCAAGAAGUACCCAUGAAAGUCGGAGUUACACAGGGAG